CCUACGGGAGGCAGCAGUAGGGAAUCUUCCACAAUGGGCGAAAGCCUGCUGGAGCAACGCCGCGUGGGUGAAGACGGUCUUCGGAUCGUAAAACCCUGUUGUUAGAGAAGAAAGUGCGUGAGAGUAACUGUUCACGUUUCGACGGUAUCUAACCAGAAAGCCACGGCUAACUCCGUGCCAGCAGCCGCGGCAAUACGUAGGGGGCAAGCGUUAUCCGGAUUUAUUGGGCGUAAAGGGAACGCCGGCCGUCUUUUAAGUCUGAUGGGAAAGCCUUCGGCCUAAACGGAGUAGUGCAGUUGAAACUGGGAGACUUGAGUGCAGAAGAGGGGAGUGGAACUCGAGGUGUAGCGGUGAAAUGCGUAGAUAUAUGGAAGAACACCAGUGGCGAAAGCAGCUCUCUGGUCUGUAACUGACGCUGAGGUUCGAAAGCGUGGGUAGCAAACAGGAUUAGAUACCCGGGUAGUC
rnacentral:rRNA from 1 species